rnacentral:lncRNA from 1 species
GCCCAUGGUUCACUUUUUCUUUCUCCCCAGUUAUUGGAGAAGUUGAUUGUUAGGAAGGCUGCUUGCUUUCGUGGACUUGGCGUUUUCCUCCAGGGGGAUGUAUGGGUGAGGAUGGAGGGACUGCUUUGGCAAGGGCAACAGCUGCUGCCCAGUCUCUUUGGGGAUUAGGUGCAAGUUGGUGUGUAGUUGAAUUCUGCCUCCUGAGUGCCUGAAAUUAUGUUCCUUUGCCUUGAGGGUAAAUGUUUUUCUGCCCACUCCAGUUACAUUCAUUUAGUUCUGGCUGAUAAUGUAUCUGAUAACCUUUCUUUUGAAGGCAGCUUCCUUGCUGAGUGUUUGACAGCUACUUACUAGGAGGGAAUUAAAAAUGUUGCUUCUGUCUUCCCUUAGUUUUUGGUAUUUAAUCACAAGUUGGUGGUAGCAGAACUUUUUUUUUUUUUCCCUAAUGCCCACAUUUUAUUUAUUUUUUAAUUAAAUUCAAUGAAUUUUACUGCAUUUACAGUUGUACAGUGAUUAUCACAACCCAUUUUUAUAGCAUAUCCCAAACCCCUAGCCCAUCCCUCCAUCCCGGCCUGUCUUCUUUGGAAACCAUUAAGUUUUUCAAAGUCUGUGAGUCAGUAUAUGUUCUGCAAAGAAGUUCAUUGUGUCCUUUUUUAGAUUCCACAUGUAAGUGUCGGCAUAUGACAUUUGUGUCUCACUGUCUGACUAAUAACUCCACUUAGCAUGAUAAUUUCUAGGUUGCUGCAGAUACCAUUAUUUCUUUCCUUUUAAUGGCUGAGUAGUAUUCCAUUGUGUAUAUGUACCAUAUCUUCUUUAUCCACUCUUCAGUGAUGGACAUUUAGAUUGCUCCCAUGUCUUGCCUGUUGUAGAUAGUGCUGCAAUGAACCUUGGAGUAUAUGUAUUUUUUUAAGUCAUGGUAUUCUCUAGGAUAGAUGCCCAGGCGUGGAAUUGCUGGAUCAAAUGGUAAUUCUAUGUUUAGUUUUCUGAGGAAUCUCCAUACUGUUUUCCACAGUGGUGCAGGACGUUUAAAUGAAAACAUUAGCUGUUUAUUACCUAACCAUUUUGGUAAUGGUAGAGACUUAAGAUGUGUUUUGACCUUUUGGAUAUCAGCAUUGGACAAGAUUUUAUACAUAUUUUGUGCUGGAAUUUAAAUUCUAAUAACCUUUAGAAGCAUUAGUAGUAGGAUUUACUUAGCUGGUUGAAUCCUAAGCUUGCUAGUGGGUUGGGGUUGCAUACAUGCGUCAUAUUUCUUUUUUUCUUUUCUUUUCUUUUCUUUUUUUUUUUUUUUUUUCGGUCUUUUUGCCUUUUCUAGGGCCGCUCCCGUGGCAUAUGGAGAUUCCCAGGCUAGGGGUCUAAUCAGUGCUGUAGCCGCCGGCCACGGCCACACCAACUCGGGAUCCGAGCCGUGUCUGCGAUCUACACCACAGUUCAUGGCAAUGCCGGAUCCUUAACCCACUGAGCAAGGCCAGGGAUCGAACCCGCAACCUCAUGGUUCCUAGUCAGAUUCGUUAACCACUGAGCCAUGACUCCACACGGGUCAUAUUUCUGACCAAUUCUGAUGGUACUAAUUAUGUCAGGAGUUUACAGACAAGGCUAAAUUAAUUGUGAGCCUGCGACCUUUGCCCACUUAGUACUGUUUUGCUAAGAUUAUCUGAGGUAAUACUUAUUUAAUACCGCAGAGAUAAGAACCUGCUGUGGGUGCCUUACUUCCGGUGUAUGCUGACUUCUUAUGUAGGAUACUGUGUCUGAAUAACCUGAGCCAUGGUCCUAAUAACUCUGGUCUCUGUUUGGGCCCAGACUCCAAGUUGUUGGUCAGUAAGCUAGAAGGUCUUUUGUGCUACCUAGACAGAUCUUUUCAUCUGGAAGGACUUUUGUGGUACCUCUGAGCCUGAGAGAGUAAGGUACAAGGAUUUUGAGGCACAUUUGCAUAUUUGGUUUUGUUGUACCCUUGUGAGUAGAAUUUAAUUCAUUUUUUAGAAUUGAUGGUUAAUCUGUCAGUUGACAGGUAAAUUUCAUCAAACCCUAGAAUGAGAGAUGGAAAUGUCCUUUUCCUUCUGAUGUUCACGGUGGCAUUUGUUGGCCUGAGCUCAGCAGAUUUUCAGCACUUAAGCCUGGUGUCUUCAAACCUUGACUUAGUGGCUGGGCUCAGUUUUCCAAUCACUAGUGGAAACUUAAUGACAGUAAUUUUUUUUUUGUCCUUUUAGGGCCACACCUAGGGCUGCUCCCACGGUACAUGGAGGUUCCCAGGCUAGGGGCCGAACUGGAGCUGUAGCUGCUGGCCUAUACCACAGCCACAGCAACGGGAGCUGCAUCUUCGACCUACACCACAGCUCAUGGCAACAAGAGAUGCUUAACCCACUGAGUGAGGCCAGGGAUCGAACCCAUGUCCUCAUGGAUACUAGUCAGGUUCAUUAACCACUGAGUCAUGACAGGAACUCCAGACAGUAAGUUUUGAAUGCUUAUAUUUUAUUGGAGCCUGGAAUUGUUGAAACUAGGUGUUUGUCCAUCAGUGCCGAAUAGAAUCUCAGAGACAGUUUUGGGUGCGGGAGGAAAAAAAAUAGCAUUACUGCUUGCUAGGCAAAGGAGGCCAUAGCAGGCUAAUGCCCUAAAGACUGUGCCCUCCCUUGGGAGAGAUUAGGAAGUUGCUUUAUAGUUUGGGAGAAGAAAACAGGGCCACAGAUAAGGAUCAGAAUAGGUACAAGCUUUCAUUCUUCUUCAAAGUUGGUGUUUAGUGGCCCCAGGCCUGGUUCCGUGGUCCUCCUCUCUUGUUUUCAUUUGUGGCAGGUUUUAGUUCUGCAGAAGAACUCAAAGAUACUUUUAUGUAUAUUCCUUGAGGAGGAACCAGGAUCCCGCCCCAAGGCUGCACUGUUGUCUCUGCAUCCCCUCCCUUCUCUGAUGAGCAACUGUUUGAACCUACUCUUUGGAGCGCAGGGAGGGUGGUGGAGGCUGAAGCUUAUUCCCUAAGAGUAAGAAAUAGGGAACACAGAGGGCUUGUGCCCAGGAGCCCCACAGGGUCCUGUCAGUUUCAAUAUUAUUCCCUCUAAAGGGUGGUUCCACUUUUGAUUCUUGAACAUCUCAACUAGCUCUUCUCUUCAGAAAGGAUAUUUUUCUGUUCAGUUUUUAUAUAUGGAUACAAUAUAAAUAUAGUUGCAGAUGCUAUGUAUAGUUAGGUUCUUGUGAAACUGCAUUUCAACUACAGAUCCACAGAAGAGUAAAUAUAGUUAGGCUGCUUUUCUAGUGUAUUUUAAUUUGAAAUUCACUUAUGAGUAAAAUUAAACUUUUCUUGAACAUUAUUUACUUUUUUGUUGUCGCCUCAACAUUAUUUAAUAUUAGCAUAUUGACUGCAGUGAGCUCUGAAAUAAUUCUCAUGCCUUAAGUGUAACUCUAUUAAAAUAACUCCGUUCCCUAGCUGGGCAUGGUGGGUUAACAAUCUGGCCUUGCUGCAGCUUUGGCUUAGGUUGCAACUGUGGCUUGGAUCUGUUUCCUGGCCCGGGAACUGCACAUGCCAAGGGACAGCCAAAAAAGAAAAAAAAAUUACUCAAAGGGUUUUUGUGGUGGUGGGGGUGGGGGGACAUUGGGGUGGUAGCAUAGAGGAUUGGUGUUGGAAGAAGGGUUCUUAAGGAACUUAGGGAAUCAGAAAUUUGAGACGUGUCCCUAAAUUUCUGAAAAUGGAUGCGGUAUGCUAUAAAGUGUCCUAGAGCAUUGUCCUUUAUUAGGAAGGAUUUCUAAUGAGUGAUUUUGUUAUAUACCCUUGGUUUUUCCUUAGGGAAUAUCCACAGAGUUAUAUUUUCUUUGGCUUUAAGUGAUAUUUGCCCAUUGAAGUAUUUUAUCUUUAACAAUUAAAGUAGAAAAAUAGGUGCUGUUAUAGAAAAGGGACAAAUUAUGGAAAAGAACAGGUUAAUCAGUCAACUAAUAGAUAUUGACUAGUUUCACAAGUAUUCAUUGUUACUGCCAGGUACAGGUCUCUGGCCCAGAGCUGUGUAGAUAAAGAAGCGGCCCAUCCUUUGAGGUGAGAGUCCCGAGGAAUCUUUCAGCUCGGCCGACUGGAAGGCCCUUGAGCUCGCCUCCUCUCAGAAACCGCCAGAAUCACAGCUAAUUCCUGGAAUAAACGUUGAUCAGAAAGACUGAAACCUGCCA